rnacentral:rRNA from 1 species
CAGCAGCCGCGGUAAUACGUAGGUCCCGAGCGUUGUCCGGAAUUAUUGGGCGUAAAGGGAGCGCAGGCGGACAUAUAAGUCCAUCUUAAAAGUGCGGGGCUCAACCCCGUGAGGGGAUGGAAACUGUAUGCCUUGAGUGCAGGAGAGGAAAGCGGAAUUCCCAGUGUAGCGGUGAAAUGCGUAGAUAUUCGCAAGAACACCAGUGGCGAAGGCGGCUUACGGGCUCGAAACUGACGCUGAGGCGCGAAAGCGUGGGGAGCAAACAGGAUUAGAUACCCCUGUAGUCCCUGUCUCUUAUACA